GACGAACGCUGGCGGCGUGCUUAACACAUGCAAGUCGAACGGAAAGGCCCUUUUGGGGGUACUCGAGUGGCGAACGGGCGAGUAACACGUGAGUAACUUGCCUUCCACUUCGGGUUAACUUCAGGAAACUGGGGCUAAUUCCGGAUAGGAAUCCUUGCUGCCUGGUGGGGGUGGGAAGGCUUUGGGGGUUUGGGGUGGAUGCGCGGCUUUUCUGCUUGCUGGUGGGGUAGUGGCUUACUAAGGCUUUGACGGGUAGGCGGCCGGAGAGGGGGACCGGCCAGAUUUGGGCUGGGAUACGGCCCAGACUCCUUCGGGGGGCAGCAGUGGGGAAUAUUUCACAAUGGGGGGGAGCCUGAUGCAGCAACGCCGCGUGCGGGAUGACGGCCUUCGGGUUGGAAACCGCUUUCAGCAGGGGCGGAGCUUGUGGUGACGGUACCUGCAGAAGAAGCACCGGCUAACUACGUG
rnacentral:rRNA from 1 species